rnacentral:SRP_RNA from 1 species
GCUGGGUGUGGUGGCGUUUGCCUGUAGUCCCAAUUACUCAGGAGGCUGAGGUAGGAGGAUCACCUGAGCCUGGGAGGUUGAGGCUGCAGUGAGCCAUGAUCGCACCACUGCACUCUAGCCUGGGCAACAGAGUGAGACCCUGUCUCAA